UGGCUGGGGCUAGGGAGGGCUGGGUUUCCCACCACCACCGUGGGCUGCCCUGGUGGGUGCUGGUGGGACCACGCGAGGCAUGCCCUGUGCCACCAGCCGAGCUGCGUGCCAGAGGGUGGGCAGCACGGCGCUUGCUGUGGUUCGAGCUCUGCAGCAAAUGGGCAACAAGGAGCAAACGUUAUAGGCUGUCUGAAACAUAAGCAAUUGCUGCACUGUGAAAAACAGGAAUUUAAAGGGGAGAUAAGCAUGCUGGGACGGCUCUUCAGCUCUGCCUGACAACGUCUCCUAGCUUGCGGCGUGAAAAAUGGGGAUUAUUUCUCCCGGCGCUGGAGAGGGGACAGGGCCCAUCAGUCGCUCAGAGCCGUCCGGACAUGCCGAACUCUGCCCCACGGCCCGAUAACAUCAGGGUAAAAUACCUGCCAACAAGUCGGCAACAGGAAGCUGUCAGAGUGGGGAAGAAAGCACGAUAGCGUCAUCUCUCUCUGCUCGUAAAAUAACAGCACUUUUUUUUUUUACGUGACCCAGGUACUAAGUAGCACUGCACCAGCCAAGUUGUAAGAGAAGCCUUUGUUUAACAGCUGGGAAAAGUGCUUAAAUCACUCAUAAAAUAUUACCCGGGUUUGACAAGUUUAUCUAGCAGUACCGUUGAGAUCCUCAGCAAUGGUGUUUCUGCAGUCAAAAAGGAGCAUUUUAUACGAGGGUGGAUGUGUAAUUAUUUAAAGCAUUAAUAGCAGUUCAGCGGGAUACUCUCGUGCUGUCCACCCUGAAAUUUAACCACUUCUGCACACUGACUGAGCUGCUAGUACCUGGGAGGGAAGGUCGGAGCCAGGCACGAUUUUAGGACGGUGUGGUGUAAAGGACCACGUCUGAAGCUGAAAACAACCAGGAGAAGCAGGAUGCUGGCAGUGCCGUACUGGAGCAGGCUCCACAUGUCCUGUGGGACCUGCAGCAUUGGGUCCCAGCACAGCCCUGCUGCCCUGCAGGGCUCGGUCAGGCAACAGGGCUCGGGUCCCCAGCUGUGCUCUAGUUGGGGCAACACCCAAAAUACAGGUCAUGCUCUGCUGUGUAUUACAGGUCAGAGCUGCACCCACAAAGGAGUGCAGCUUUAUAAGCAUGGUUUCAUGUCAAGCCAUAGGAACUGCUCUGAUCGGCUGGAACUAAAGCCUGAUGUCCCCUCCUGGGGCAGCAAGUGCCAGUAAUUCAGUGGGUCCAUCGCAAGGAGCAUGGAUGAAGAACUGACACAAAAGAAAUUCUUUUCAUUAUCAAAUCUUUCUACUCCAUUAGGAUUUAUUCAGGCAUUCAACUUCCAUUAUUAUCUAUGGUUCCUGAAAUUUCAUUCUUGGAUUUUUCAGUCAACCGUCCUGGCCAGCAGCAGGAAGGCUAUGAUGAAGCACCUUUUAUCCCGUUGAGAUUUUUUUUUUACCUCCUUGCAAGCAGGAGGCUGCCCCAGGAAGUCUCGGGGCCAGGGACCAGUCAGGCAGGCGGUUAACAACAGGCGGCUUUCAUUGCUGGGGCACGUCGUGGCGGCGCUGCUGGCUGUGGCCUGGCCCCAAUUCAUUACCCGCCGCGAGCGCAGAGGUCAAAUGCCCAAGCCCCCGUGAUGGGGCACCUUACGCAAAGUGCACGUCCUAGGAGGAGCCCCUGACAGCUUUGAUUUUUCCCACACACAAACUGUUGGUACAAGAUGUAAUCUGGGAAUGAAAGGGCCGUGGAUGGGAUGAUUGGGGACAGCUGCUCCCCAGAGGCCUCCAGCGGCAGGGCCUGCACUAAAUACCCUCCACUUUCCAUGGCCCCGGGACAGGAGAGGUGUCAGGCUACAACAAGGCACAGAUGGAAGUGAACAGGAUUAAGUAGUGCUGAUUAAGUAUAAGUAUUUUUCAGUAGUGUAAUGGCACUUAAAAAGAAAAAAAAAGAGACGAGAAGAGGAGCUAAAAGAAGGUGGAUGGGCCCUCCCCAGCCCCUGGAUGACCAGGCUGUGCCCAAGAUGGUUGCCCCAUGUCUGUGGGUGCCUCUGUGCUCAACAGCACUUGGCUUCAAAGAAAAUGAGUUCUGUGGCAAGGCUGUCCUGCCUCGGUUGCUGCAAUGAGGAGGAGAAGAAGACAGCGCUUUGUACCCACUCAAGUUAGCAGCAGUGACUGCGGUGGGGUUUGGAUCAGGAUCAUGCAGUGUAAGAGCUACUCCAGUAUUUUACUAAAACACAGUGGCCUUUUUUUCCUUUCUUCUGCAUGUAGAGGUGACUGCAGCAGGUGUUCACUGCUUCCCUGCUAACUCUUCUCUGGGGGUAAAAGCACAGAUACGUGCUGAUAGAAGCACCUAUGGUGCGUGGAUACAUCCUGCUGCCCUCUAGGUGGGAAGAGGUUUCGCAGAGUUCUCCCAGUUUAAUUUAUUUUGUCAAAUCUUAUAUGUACUAGAGAUGGAUGAAGAAUAAACACAGCUUUUGCUCAGUUCCCUCCUGACACAAAUGAAUGACUUUUUUUUUUUUAUCAGUUACCUUGACACUAUAAUAACAGCUCUUAAAUCUGAAGAGGUGGAAAUGUGCAACUGCAAAAAAAGGCAUGAAGAAUCCAUGAUGUGAUCAGAGAUAUAUGGAAAAAAUUCCCAAUGCGCAGGAUAACAGAGCUGAUUUAUGAUGUUUUGAUUAAUCGGUGUCACACAAUU